GGAAUCUUGCGCAAUGGGCGAAAGCCUGACGCAGCAACGCCGCGUGCGGGAAGAAGGCUUUAGGGUUGUAAACCGCUUUCAGCAGGGAAGAAAAUGACGGUACCUGCAGAAGAAGGUGCGGCCAACUACGUGCCAGCAGCCGCGGUGACACGUAGGCACCAAGCGUUGUCCGGAUUUAUUGGGCGUAAAGAGCUCGUAGGCGGUUCAGUAAGUCGGGUGUGAAAACUCUGGGCUUAACCCAGAGCCGCCACCCGAUACUGCUGUGACUUGAGUCCGGUAGGGGAGCGGGGAAUUCCUGGUGUAGCGGUGAAAUGCGCAGAUAUCAGGAGGAACACCGGUGGCGAAGGCGCCGCUCUGGGCCGAGACUGACGCUGAGGAGCGAAAGCAUGGGUAGCAAACAGGAUUAGAUACCCUGGUAGUCCAUGCCGUAGACGUUGGGCACUAGGUGUGGGCAUCAACCAACGAUGUCCGCGCCGUCGCUAACGCAUUAAGUGCCCCGCCUGGGGAGUACGGUCGCAAGAUUAAAACUCAAAUGAAUUGACGGA
rnacentral:rRNA from 1 species